AAAACCCAAAUUCAAGAAAUCAUGAAAAAUGGAAACUUUAUUUGGAAAUUGAAGCUUUACCUGCAGAUCAGCAGCAGCAAACGGAAUCCAACGGCAUGUACCUCAAAAGUGAGAGAGAGAGAGAGAGCAGGAAACGCUAGCUUUUCUGGGUAAAA